rnacentral:rRNA from 1 species
GAUGAACGCUGGCGGCGUGCCUAAUACAUGCAAGUCGAGCGAAUGGAUUAAGAGCUUGCUCUUAUGAAGUUAGCGGCGGACGGGUGAGUAACACGUGGGUAACCUGCCCAUAAGACUGGGAUAACUCCGGGAAACCGGGGCUAAUACCGGAUAACAUUUUGAACCGCAUGGUUCGAAAUCGAAAGGCGGCUUCGGCUGUCACUUAUGGAUGGACCCGCGUCGCAUUAGCUAGUUGGUGAGGUAACGGCUCACCAAGGCAACGAUGCGUAGCCGACCUGAGAGGGUGGUCGGCAACACUGGGACUGAGACACGGCCCAGACUCCUACGGGAGGCAGCAGUAGGGAAUCUUCCGCAAUGGACGAAAGUCUGACGGAGCAACGCCGCGUGAGUGAUGAAGGCUUUCGGGUCGUAAAACUCUGUUGUUAGGGAAGAACAAGUGCUAGUUGAAUAAGCUGGCACCUUGACGGUACCUAACCAGAAAGCCACGGCUAACUACGUGCCAGCCGCCGCCGUAA